ACGUAGGGUGCGAGCGUUAAUCGGAAUUACUGGGCGUAAAGCGUGCGCAGGCGGUUAUAUAAGACAGAUGUGAAAUCCCCGGGCUCAACCUGGGAACUGCAUUAGUGACUGUAUAGCUAGAGUGCGGCAGAGGGGGAUGGAAUUCCGCGUGUAGCAGUGAAAUGCGUAGAUAUGCGGAGGAACACCGAUGGCGAAGGCAAUCCCCUGGGCCUGCACUGACGCUCAUGCACGAAAGCGUGGGGAGCAAACAGGA
rnacentral:rRNA from 1 species